UUAAAUAGCCGCAGUAUUUUGACUGUGCGAAGGUAGCAUAAUCAUUUGUCUUUUAAUUGAAGGCUUGUAUGAAUGGUCGGAUGAAAAAAUAACUUUCUUUACAUUAAAUGUUGAAUUUAAUUUUUUGGUUAAAAAGCUAAAAUAAUUGAAUGGGACGAGAAGACCCUAUAGAAUUUUAUUAAAUUGUAGUUUUGAAUUUAUUGGUUAAUUAUUAUUUUUAAUUAUAAUUUUAAUUUUGUUGGGGUGACAUUGAGAUUUAUUUAACUCUCAUAAUAUAAAGUUUAUUUAUUUAUAUAUAAAAGAUCCUAUUUUAUGGAUUAAUAGAUUAAAUUACCUUAGGGAUAACAGCGUAAUUUUUCUGGAGAGUUCUUAUCAAUAGAAAAGUUUGCGACCUCGAUGUUGGAUUAAAAUUAGAUUUAAGUGCAGAAGCUUAAUUUUCUAGGUCUGUUCGACCUUUAAAUUUUUACAUGAUCUGAUUUCAAACCG
rnacentral:rRNA from 1 species